AUUGAACGCUGGCGGCAGGCCUAACACAUGCAAGUCGAGCGGAUGAAGGGAUCUUGCUCCUGGAUUCAGCGGCGGACGGGUGAGUAAUGCCUAGGAAUCUGCCUGGUAGUGGGGGAUAACGUCCGGAAACGGGCGCUAAUACCGCAUACGUCCUGAGGGAGAAAGUGGGGGAUCUUCGGACCUCACGCUAUCAGAUGAGCCUAGGUCGGAUUAGCUAGUUGGUGGGGUAAAGGCCUACCAAGGCGACGAUCCGUAACUGGUCUGAGAGGAUGAUCAGUCACACUGGAACUGAGACACGGUCCAGACUCCUACGGGAGGCAGCAGCGGGGAAUAUUGGACAAUGGGCGAAAGCCUGAUCCAGCCAUGCCGCGUGUGUGAAGAAGGUCUUCGGAUUGUAAAGCACUUUAAGUUGGGAGGAAGGGCAGUAAGUUAAUACCUUGCUGUUUUGACGUUACCAACAGAAUAAGCACCGGCUAACUUCGUG
rnacentral:rRNA from 1 species